CUGAGGAGGCCAAUGGUGAUGGCGAAGUACGUCUUCCUAGCGACAUAUGCGUGUCGUAUACAGGGGAGGACACGAACCUCGAUAAACUGAUAGAUAACAUUUUUCCAAUGCUUGAUGAUAAUAUGUCGGAUCCAAACUACAUCACCUCGAGAGCCAUCUUGUCCACACGGAAUGAUUGUGUGGACCAAAUUAAUAUGAAGAUGAUCGGUCGCUUCCGAGGGGAGGAGGUGGUAUAUCAUAGCUUUGAUCAUGCAGAAGACGAUCCCCAUAACUACUACCCCCUGAGUUUCUUAACUCGCUGACACCGAACGGGCUACCUCCACACGUUCUAAAGCUCAAGAUGAACUGUCCUAUCAUAUUACUUAGGAACAUUGACCCCGCGAACGGACUUUGCAAUGGGACGAGGCUGGUGGUCCGGGGGUUCCAGAGAAAUGCAAUAGAUGCAGAGAUUGUGCUGGGGCAGCAUGCUGGAAAGAGGGUUUUUCUGCCUCGGAUCCCCCUGUGCCCCUCUGAUGAUGAGAUGUUCCCUUUCCAGUUUAAGAGGAAGCAGUUUCCUAUCAGGCUCAGCUUCGCCAUGACAGUCAACAAGGCACAAGGGCAAACCAUCCCCAAUGUCGGCAUUUACCUGCCCGAGCCGGUGUUCUCUCACGGUCAAUUAUAUGUCGCGCUAUCUAGAGCCACCGCCAGAGCGAACAUCAGGAUCCUCGUCGUCCCAGCUGAUGACAAAAAAAAGAAGUGCUCAAAGCAAAGUGGGACAUACACGAAGAACAUCGUCUAUAGAGAGGUCCUUACGGCAUAGAGAAACAUUCAUUCAUACAUUUAUGCUCCAAAUUGCGGUUUUGUCUAAUCACUUGAAUAGGAGGGACAUUCAUAUCCGACAGGUCAAGAUAUAUGGCCCACGCCCAACCCUGUUCCCCACCAACCAUUUCAUUUUACUUAAAGGGAAUUCAUAAUAUAUACUCCACUGUUAGAUGACAGUUGAUGGACAUACUCCAUUGCCUGCUCAAGACUAAUGAAAGCUUAGGAAUCAGAGUUCAGGUUCCCAGUGGGAACCCUGAUUGUGCUUCAUUCCUCCCAUAAUGGCCAUGCAGAAUUCAACAUUGAAGAUUUGAAGUAUCUAUUGGAGCACCAUUUGGCUCCUUGAAACAGCAAACAGAGAAUUGUUUGCUGAUUUGUCUGCCCGUACGAUUGUACAAUUUGUACCCAUGUAAUCUAACAUGACCCACCUCCAUGUGCGAGAGAGGUCCUCUGGGAGAGCAUCGUCCGCAUAAAUCUCUUGCCUCUUAUUUUUUACCAUGUACCUGGUUCAUUUGAUACAGUUUAUUUAUGAUAGUUAUCUUUUUUAGAGGAGUUUAUGAUAGUUAUCUUUUUCCAUGUACCUGGUUCAUUUGAUACAAUUUAUGUACUUGGUUCAAUUCGUUUUCAUCUCAUUUCGUGCUCCAUCAAUGGUAUCCUCGAGUCACGUGUUCUCGAAGCCGAUUCGCAUUCCCUGUAAACACUCUG